AGCGAACGCUGGCGGCAGGCCUAAUACAUGCAAGUCGAACGAAGCCUUCGGGCUUAGUGGCGGACGGGUGAGUAACACGUGGGAACGUACCCUUUGGUUCGGAACAACUCAGGGAAACUUGAGCUAAUACCGAAUGUGCCCCCAUCCUUAACAAGAUGGGUGGGAAAGAUUUAUCGCCAUUGGAGCGGCCCGCGUCUGAUUAGCUAGUUGGUGAGGUAAAGGCCCACAAGGCUACGAUCAGUAGCUGGUCUGAGAGGAUGAUCAGCCACACUGGGACUGAGACACGGCCCAGACUCCUACGGG
rnacentral:rRNA from 1 species